AAGUCGAGCGGUAACAGGAAUUAGCUUGCUAAUUCGCUGACGAGCGGCGGACGGGUGAGUAAUGCCUGGGAAUAUGCCUUAGUGUGGGGGAUAACUAUUGGAAACGAUAGCUAAUACCGCAUAACGUCUUCGGACCAAAGAGGGGGACCUUCGGGCCUCUCGCGCUAAGAUUAGCCCAGGUGGGAUUAGCUAGUUGGUGAGGUAAAGGCUCACCAAGGCAACGAUCCCUAGCUGGUCUGAGAGGAUGAUCAGCCACACUGGAACUGAGACACGGUCCAGACUCCUACGGGAGGCAGCAGUGGGGAAUAUUGCACAAUGGGGGAAACCCUGAUGCAGCCAUGCCGCGUGUAUGAAGAAGGCCUUCGGGUUGUAAAGUACUUUCAGUCGUGAGGAAGGGUAUGUAGUUAAUAGCUGCAUGCCUUGACGUUAGCGACAGAAGAAGCACCGGCUAACUCCGUGCCAGCAGCCGCGGUAAUACGGAGGGUGCGAGCGUUAAUCGGAAU
rnacentral:rRNA from 1 species